GCUAAAAAUCUAGCCCGCUAUCCACCCAAUAACCCCCGCAAACUAAAUACACAAACUAAAACAUUCUCACAUCUUAGUAAAGGCGAUUGAAAAAUAAUUAGGAGCUAUAAAAAUAGUACCGCAAGGGAAAGAUGAAAUAAAAAUGAAAUAAAUUCAAAGCACAACAAAGUAGAGAUUAACUCUCGUACCUUUUGCAUCAUGGUUUAACUAGUUAAAUCAAGCAAAACGACCUAUAGUUUGACCCCCCGAAACUAGGCGAGCUACUUCAGGACAGCUUUAUGAGCUAACCCGUCUCUGUUGCAAAAGAGUGGGAAGAUCCCCAAGUAGCGGUGACAGACCUAACGAGCCUAGUGAUAGCUGGUUACUCAGGAAAAGAAUUUCAGUCCAACCUAGAGAAUAAUAAAUAACCUUAGAUAACCCCUUCUUUAGAGCAAUUCAAAUAAGGUACAGCUUAUUUGAAACAGGAUACAACCUAAGCUGAAGGGUAAUUAUUUUUGUAACAAUCAAGUAGGCUUAAGAGCAGCCAUCUUUAAAAUAGCGUCAAAGCUUUAUUGUUUUAAUAACCAAUACCGAUAAUAACCAAGAACCCUCCACCAAUACUGAGUACUUCUAUACACCUAUAGAAUUUUUAAUGUUAAAACUAGUAACAAGAAGAAGACCUUCUCUUUAAUGCAAGUGUAAGUCAUAAAGGACACACCAAUGACUAUUAACGCCCAUGAAAACAAAUUAGCAACUUCUCAAGAAAACCCUACUUUAUACUAUGUUAAUCUAACACAAGAGCAUUUCAAGAAAGAUUGAAAGAAAAAGAAGGAACUCGGCAAACAUUAACCUCGCCUGUUUACCAAAAACAUCGCCUCCUGCUAAAAUAUAAGAGGUCCAGCCUGCCCAGUGACUCUGUUCAACGGCCGCGGUAUCCUAACCGUGCGAAGGUAGCGUAAUCACUUGUCCUUUAAAUAAGGACUAGUAUGAAUGGCACCACGAGGGUUAUACUGUCUCCUUUUUCCAAUCAGUAAACCUAAUCUCCCCGUGAAGAAGCGGGGAUAAAACUAUAAGACGAGAAGACCCUAUGGAGCUUUAAACUAAGUAACAACUGCUUAUUCAUCACACAUUUCAGAAUGCUAAUACUUAUUCUAGCCACAUGUUUACUGGUUUUAGGUUGGGGUGACCACGGAGUAUAAAACAACCUCCAUAUUGAAUGGAAUUUAAUUCCUGAGUUAAGGGUUACAGCCCUAAACACCUACAAAUUGACAUUAAUUGACCCAAUAUUUUGACCAACGAACCAAGUUACCCUAGGGAUAACAGCGCAAUCCGCUUAAAGAGCUCCUAUCGACAAGCGGGUUUACGACCUCGAUGUUGGAUCAGGGUGUCCCAGUGGUGCAGCCGCUACUAAAGGUUCGUUUGUUCAACGAUUAAAACCCU
rnacentral:rRNA from 1 species